rnacentral:tRNA from 1 species
UGGCUCAGAUGGUAAAGCGUCUGCCUACAGUGCAGGAGACCUGGGUUCAAUCCCUAG